rnacentral:rRNA from 1 species
GACGAACGCUGGCGGCGUGCUUAACACAUGCAAGUCGAACGGAAAGGCCCUGCUUUUGUGGGGUGCUCGAGUGGCGAACGGGUGAGUAACACGUAAGUAACCUGCCCUUGACUUUGGGAUAACUUCAGGAAACUGGGGCUAAUACCGGAUAGGAGCUCCUGCUGCAUGGUGGGGGUUGGAACGUUUCGGCGGUUGGGGAUGGACUCGCGGCUUAUCAGCUUGUUGGUGGGGUAGUGGCUUACCAAGGCUUUGACGGGUAGCCGGCCUGAGAGUGUGACCGGCGACGUUGGGACUGAGCUACGGCCCAGACUCCUACGGGGGGCAGCAGUGGGGAGUAUUGAACAAUGGGCGGAAGCCUGAUGCAGCAACGCCGCGUGCGGGAUGACGGCCUUCGGGUUGUAAACCGCUUUCGCCUGUGACGAAGCGUGAGUGACGGUAAUGGGUAAAGAAGCACCGGCUAACUACGUG